UAAACAACAUCAACUAUGUCUCGUAUGUUACGUACCAUCCUAGCAGCGGUAGCUAUAGCAGUGAUGCUUUCUUGUCCACCAUCAUGUUGCCCUGAUUGUAGAAAGGCGUUUGCUGCUGAAAAUCUGGAAAACUGAAUACGCUACCGAAACAGGGAACAUCCGAAGGAAGUAGACUAACUCAUCUAAAAAUAUUUGACUUGCUUCAAUAAAACAAUAAAAGUUAAAGACUCUUAAA